AUUAACCGUGCAUACAACACAAUAUUAUCAUUGCUAAGAGCGAAUCUAGCACAACAAUUGUAUCGAACAAUGUUAAUAACAUUGUUACUAACGCAAAUCGACAGAAAGUGUUGAAAGUUCAAAAAGCAGAAAAUUACGUUCUCGGAGCUCGUGUCAUAAUGCUCACCUAUUAACCUGCCAAAAUAAUGAGUUUUGAAAAAGCAGGAAAGGGCUGCCAACUGCAACAAAUACCACAUUCAUCCGUCACCGACUGAUGGAUGGUCACAGUACAGUAUUGAAAUAC
rnacentral:rRNA from 15 species